UAAGUUACAAACACACAUUUUAAUGCCAGACACACAAGAAGGGCUUUCCAAGAGAUGCUAGGUGUUCCUGAGUGGUCCAGUCUCAGUCCUGGCUUAAAUCUGCUUAUAUAAACAUAUUUAAGGUUUAAGUAUAGCUUUUUUUUCACUUUGCCUUCUUUAAGGCAGCACAAUGUGAAGACUAGGCACUGUACACUAUACUCCUCGCAGCCCAUACUGCCUCAAUGCUUUGCUCUGUCCUAUUCACAGGGGAACAGAUUGGGAUGGCAUCUCUGCAGCAGAAAGACCAUUAAGGUCCCAGAUCUCUCUGGGGAAAAUAGAAUGCAACCAUUGGCAAGGUCAAGUACAGCAUGACAGGGUAAAGAAACAAAUUGAAAGUAUCCUUUUCAAAUAUAUUGCGGUCAAAUACAUUGUCUGCAUAUCUCAUUUACGCCUUGGUUGAUAAUCAACUGUGGUUACCAAUGCUGUUGUGUUCACAACAUGCUCCUAUCCUACCAACUAUGUACUGUGUUCUAACCUCCAGAAUGACGAUAGUGAAUCUGGGACUUCCCAAGUCUGCUUUGGUACUGAUGCCAGGUACUGGAGUCAGGCUGGCUAUUACUAAUGCCUUCAUCAACCUGCACGGGAACUGGAGGGUCCGAUACUUCAGGUUCAUGUGAGUUCAUGAGUGUUCUUCUGCCCUGGUUUCAGGGAACCUCUGGGUUGUGCAGGCUUUUGUUCCAGCACAAGAAUAGCACACUAGCCAUUUAAAACACUGUACAAUUUCCUCUUGUGUCUAUCCACACUCCAAGGGGCUCAAUCAACAGUUCUUAGUUUCUGUGUGACAUUACAGAAAAGACCGUGAUGGUAAAUGGACUCACCAUCACUGCCAGUAUUGCACUCAAGAGGGAUAAGACUGGUAGGCUCAUGGUCAGCACUGUCAACUGUGUGGCCAACGUGGGCAGCGUUGGAGUAUAUCCAUGUAUCUGAACUAAACACUAUGGUGCACUUAAAACUUUUUCAGAAUGCAUGUUACCGACUUAAUCAAUCCACAAUGUCUUAAAAUGAUUUUAAUGUGGAUUUAUUGUGUUACUUUUCCUCAAAUGCUUGGUUUCUGUUUUCCAGCAGGCUGGACAAUCUUUUCACGUCCUACACUGGCAAGGCCUUGCACAGUGCUCUGCAGAAACAGGUGAGGGACAGUGUAAUGCCAGACAACAAACUCAACAGGUUAAUCUCGUUCUGUUCUUGUGACAAUAACAAUCCCUCUGUUCAUUUUUACAGAUCUGCCCCCUAGUGGCUGAUGGUAUUACUGACAUGAACCCACACCUCAAAACGUUCAAUGGUAAAACAAGAUUUGAAGGCCAAAUGCAGCCAGUUUUAUAUCAAUAACAAGAUUUACAGAAUUUAGCUUAAUGAACAUACUGUAGGAGAUUAUUAUUGUGUUAUUCAUAGGCUAGUAAAUGCAUCCUAAAUAUUUAAUAUUUUCUGCCAUCUUGAAGUUCUAGUCAAAGAGGACAAGGAUGCUGAAAUUGAAUAUUACGUUUUGAAAUCAUCCAUUGAAUUCAGUCUGAAGGUGAGAACUCCAGAUUUCUGACUCCUAAUCUAUCCUCAUUUCAGAUUUGGAGUCACUAAAACAAGAGGCUAGAGGUAAAAUCUCUCCCGCUCUCUCUCCCUUUCUCUUUCCACCUCUCUCUCCCUCGCUCUCUCCUUUCAUCUUUUUCUCCCUCCCUCCCUCCUUCCGUCCGUCCGUCCGUCCGUCUGUCUGUCUGUCUGUCUGUCUGUCUGUCUGUCUGUCUGUCUGUCUGUCUGUCUGUCUGUCUGUCUGUCUGUCUGUCUGUCUGUCUGUCUGUCUGUCUGUCUGUCUGUCUGUCUGUCUGUCUGUCUGUCUGUCUGUCUGUCUGUCUGUCUGUCUGUCUGUCUGUCUGUAUCUCUGUCUGUCUGUAUCUCUGUCUGUCUGUAUCUCUGUCUGUCUGUAUCUGUAUCUCUGUCUGUAUCUCUGUCUCUGUCUGUGUCUGUAUCUGUAUCUCUGUUUGUAUCUCAAAUCAAAUCAAAUCAAAUGUAUUUAUAUAGCUGAUAUCUCAAAGUGCUGUACAGAAACCCAGCCUAAAACCCCAAACAGCAAGCAAUGCAGGUGUAGAAGCACGGUGGCUAGGAAAAACUCCCUAGAAAGGCCAAAACCUAGGAAGAAACCUAGAGAGGAACCAGGCUAUGUGGGGUGGCCAGUCCUCUUCUGGCUGUGCCGGGUGGAGAUUAUAACAGAACAUGGCCAAGAUGUUCAAAUGUUCAUAAAUAACCAGCAUGGUCAAAUAAUAAUAAUCACAGGCAGAACAGUUGAAACUGGAGCAGCAGCACGGCCAGGUGGACUGGGGACAGCAAGGAGUCAUCAUGUCAGGUAGUCCUGAGGCAUGGUCCUAGGGCUCAGGUCCUCCGAGAGAGAGAAAGAAAGAGAGAAAGAGAGAAUUAGAGAGAGCAUACUUAAAUUCACACAGGACACCGGAAAGGACAUGAGAAGUACUCCAGAUAUAACAAACUGACCAUAGCCCCCCGACACAAACUACUGCAGCAUAAAUACUGGAGGCUGAGACAGGAGGGGUCAGGAGACACUGUGGCUCCAUCCGAAGACACCCCCGGACAGGGCCAAACAGUAAGGAUAUAACCCCACCCACUUUGCCAAAGCACAGCCCCCACACCACUAGAAGGAUAACUUCAACCACCAACUCACCAUCCUGAGACAAGGCCGAGUAUAGCCCACAAAGUUCUCCGCCACGGCACAACCCAAGGGGGGGGACGCCAACCCAGACAGGAAGAUCACAUCAGUGACUCAACCCACUCAAGUGACACACCCCUCCUAGGGACGGUAUGAAAGAGCCCUAGUAAGCCAGUGACUCAGCCCCUGUAAUAGGGUUAGAGGCAGAGAAUCCCAGUGGAAAGAGGGGAACCGGCCAGGCAGAGACAGCAAGGGCGGUUCGUUGCUCCAGAGCCUUUCAGUUCACCUUCACACUCCUGGGCCAGACAACACUCAAUCAUAUGACCCACUGAAGAGAUGAGUCUUCAGUAAAGACUUAAAGGUUGAGACCGAGUUUGUGUCUCAUGGGUCUCUGUAUGUAUGUAUGUAUGUAUGUAUGUAUGUAUGUAUGUAUGUAUGUAUGUAUGUAUGUAUGUAUGUAUGUAUGUAUGUAUGUAUGUAUGUAUGUAUGUAUGUAUGUAUGUAUGUAUGUAUGUAUGUAUGUAUGUAUGUAUGUAUGUAUGUAUGUAUGUAUAUGUAUGUAUGUAUGUAUGUAUGUAUGUAUGUAUGUAUGUAUGUAUGUAUGUCUGUA
ensembl:lncRNA